UUACGGCCAUAUCACGUUGAAACACCAGCUACAGUACGAUCACCGAAGUUAAGCAAUGUCGAGCCUGGUCAGUACCUAGAUUGGUGACCGCUUGGGUGCUGCAA
rnacentral:rRNA from 1 species